UACAGAGGUCUCAAGCGUUGUUCGGAAUCACUGGGCGUAAAGGGUGCGUAGGCGGCGGAGUAAGUCGGAUGUGAAAUUUGGAGGCUCAACCUCCAACUUGCAUCUGAUACUGCUUCGCUAGAGACCUGGAGAGGAGUUUGGAAUUCUCGGUGUAGCAGUGAAAUGCGUAGAUUUCGAGAAGAACGCUCGCAGCGAAAGCGAAACUCUGGACAGCGUCUGACGCUGAGGCACGAAGGCUAGGGGAGCAAACGGG
rnacentral:rRNA from 1 species